GGUCAGACAGGAGCUGAUCAACACCGUGCGGCAGUGCACCAGUAAGCUGGGCUCGUACCCGCGGCUGCGGGAGGAGACGGAGCGCAUCGUGAGCACGCACAUCCGGGAGCGCGAGGGCAGAACCAAGGAGCAGAUCCUGCUGCUGAUCGACAUCGAGCUCUCCUACAUCAACACCAACCACGAGGAUUUCAUCGGAUUCGCCAACUGUUUCACUGAGCAGCCCCCGGCCUCCGG